UACGUAGGUGACAAGCGUUAUCCGGAGUUACUGGGCGUAAAGGGCGUGUAGGUGGUAUCGUAAGUCUGGCGUGAAAUUUCUCGGCUUAACCGAGGCAGGUCGUCGGAUACUGCGAGGCUAGAGGACGGUAGAGGCGUGUGGAAUUCCGGGUGUAGUGGUGAAAUGCGUAGAGAUCCGGAGGAACACCAGUGGCGAAGGCGACACGCUGGGCCGUACCUGACACUGAUGCGCGACAGCAUGGGGAGCAAACAGG
rnacentral:rRNA from 1 species